GUUCUGGCUGAUUGUUUGCUUGCUAGAUCGUCUGUCUACUUGCCUAGAGUUGUUUGCUGAUUUUUGCUCAUUUGUCUCUCUUUCUGCCUACUCACUGACUCUUCUACUCAACCAGGCUAGGCUAUUUUUCUUCUCUACAGAGAAUUUAUUGAUUUACUGAUGUCUUUACAGGAGGUAGCAUGUGUCGUCUACGAUCCUAAUAGCAAUUUGUUGGGGUACCUAGACAAUUUGACAGGAUUUUUGAUAGAGAUGACAGACGCGAUGUCCUUGGCUGCUGACGGCAAUUAGGGGCAGUUUGAUGGUGAAAUGCCACACGAUUGAUGGCAGAGCUGAUACACGAAUCACCAACAUGAAGAACUCUGUUGCUCAUGUCAUGGAUAUGCAGUGAAUUUACGUCUAGAACACAGGGUAGUUGCCCAUGGCAUGCUACAAUAUUCAUCAUAAUUUGAUACAGGUGGGAGAAGAAAACGACUGCUGUUACACGUACAAGAUGACGAUCAUCUGUUACAAGUCAGAAAUUCAGACUUGGUUCACUGUGUUUGAAGUUUUAGUUCAAACAUGACAAGAAAAAAUUGUAUUAAACUUGCACUUUAGGUAGAUUGUUCUUAUCAUAAUUAUAUAUGGAUCAUAUCAACUCAUAUGGAAUAGUGACAAUUAUUUACCACUAAAAUGCAAUGUCAAUUCUUUCAAAGUACCACUCCAGUACAAGUAAAACUAGUAACUACGAAUACUUUCAUCACUUCCGUUUCGUUUAGUACUAGCACAAGCUUGACUAGUCAUGACUCCUCC